GACGAACGCUGGCGGCGUGCUUAACACAUGCAAGUCGAACGGAAAGGCCCUGCUUUUGUGGGGUGCUCGAGUGGCGAACGGGUGAGUAACACGUGAGUAACCUGCCCUUGACUUUGGGAUAACUUCAGGAAACUGGGGCUAAUACCGGAUAGGAGCUCCUGCUGCAUGGUGGGGGUUGGAAAGUUUCGGCGGUUGGGGAUGGACUCGCGGCUUAUCAGCUUGUUGGUGGGGUAGUGGCUUACCAAGGCUUUGACGGGUAGCCGGCCUGAGAGGGUGACCGGCCACAUUGGGACUGAGAUACGGCACAGCCUCCUACGGGAGGCAGCAGUGGGGAAUAUUGCACAAUGGGCGGAAGCCUGAUGCAGCAACGCCGCGUGCGGGAUGACGGCCUUCGGGUUGUAACCCGCUUUCGCCUGUGACGAAGCGUGAGUGACGGUAAUGGGUAAAGAAGCACCGGCUACCUACGUG
rnacentral:rRNA from 1 species